ensembl:lncRNA
AUGGCUGUAACUGGCAGUGAGCUGUAACAGUAGGUGACGAUUUUGUCCAGGCUUUGUAAAGGGAGCAACAGCGCCUUCUUCUGGUUGUGUUCAGUCAGACAGCACCAUGGACAGGAACUCACACGAAAAAGCGAUAUAAUGUGCCUGGGGGCCGUCUCGUUAUUAACCUAAUAUUAACUAAGUAAUUAUUCAUUUUGACAAAAAUAUGACUAAGAUUGAUAUUUUCCUGCUACAUCGUGCUAUGCACCCACACAACAAAAAAAUAAACAAGAAACACACACAUAGAACACAUGACAACAGAGAUCCUUUCAUCAGGUACAGGAUACUGUGCUUUAGAAUAAGAAGCAAGAUAACUAGCAAUAGUGUCUGCUGCAGUUUCACAAACAUGCACCAUCUGCUCCAACUGCAGGGUAUUUUUCAAAUAUGAUGCAAAGGUAUAAAAUAUACAGUGCCGGCGACCGAACUCAACCGCCAGCGUCCCACUGAGCAGGUGUACGCCGAACGCAAUGAGUCAUCAACCUCAAAUGUGCCGCUUGGCAAGGUUUUCGACUUAUUACAGAAGUCUGCUGAUGAACUGAUAACCAUUAGGAAGCUUCUUGUCCCCGAGGAAUAGAUCUUCAAACAUAGACUCCAAGUCGUUGUGGGAAUCGGCAACAAGUCCCAAUGCCCCAGAUAUGGUAUCAAAACAAGAUAUUUUUAGCUGAUCCAAGAAAACAGCGAGCUUCUCAACCCUUUCACUCAGAUGUGUAAACUGAGGAAGUCUGCACGCUUGCUACACCUCAUCACACCUCAAAUGAUGGCAUCUAAUAUUUCAACCAACAAACUGUAUUUUGAGGAAAGUUAUGUCCUCCGUGGCUCAAAACGCCACCUAAACGCCGCGCAGAAUGACAAACUAUAGGGGCAGCGUUGCCGUGAUGGUAGAGCGUGACAUUCUUCCCUCUACUGAGCGUUUUAAUUACAAUAUCUCUGCAUUCCUGCCCGGAGCAGCAGCUCCUCUGAGCCCCUCCAUCCCCAUCCACUCCCUGCACGGGCCAAGGCCGUUUUCCCCGCUAAAAUAGGUCCACUGCUCUCCCCCCCCCCCGGAGACGGGGCUCUUUAACCGGAAGCCAACCAAACAUUAAGGGCUUUGGCAGCCGGAGCGCAGGCGAGUAGUAAAGGAACGGACAAGUGCCUCCUGGAAACAGCAUCAGCAUAAAGGCUGCAAGACGCCGCGGAGAUCCGGGAGUUGGACGUCUCAGCUCGUCCUCUGUUCAGAAACACAGCAGCAGAGCUGUCAUCCAGCUCACUACCACCGACUCUUCAGGUGUCUGUGUGUGUGUGUCUGUGUGUGUGUUUGUGUCGGUCUGUGUAUUGGGGAAAAGCGUCAAGAAAGAGGUUUUAUCCUUGGAGCCACACAGUCUACACUAUUUUGGACGCAGCCACCUGAGUUGAGAAGUUUCUCUUGUGGUUAUGUUACUUUUACCAUAAGGACUGAGACACAAUUGAGAGACAAAGCAAUGAUGUUUACAUAUUUGCUUAGCGGACAGUAGAAACAAAUGUCCUUUCUUCUUUGAAUAAAUGAUUCUGUUCAUUAUGUUACUCAGAUAAACAUUUGCAUUAUUUCUUGAUUUGAAUAUUCUACUUGGUUAUUCUUUUUUGGGGCUUUACGUCACAUAAUUUGCAUUAGUCACUGUGUAUGAUGGAAGCAUUUCUCCACCAUGAAUGGCCUCUCAUUCGACUCAGAUCGUUGAUCUAAAUCACUGCAGCUUUUCUCCCCUUAAAUUUUUCAAAGCCUGAUCCAAGAAAAAUGUUGUACGUGCAAAGCUCUCCACCUCCUUGCCUGUGCACCACUUUUUUAUUUUUUCUAGGCACAUAUUUGUGAUCAGUUAGCCUGUGUGGGCUCGCA